rnacentral:rRNA from 1 species
GACGAACGCUGGCGGCGCGCCUAACACAUGCAAGUCGAACGGAGCGUACUGUGUGAAGCCCUUCGGGGCGGAACUUUGUAUUGCUUAGUGGCGAACGGGUGAGUAACACGUGAGUAACCUACCUCCGAGCGGGGGACAACAUUUGGAAACAGAUGCUAAUACCGCAUAAGACCACAGUGUCGCAUGGCACAGUGGCCAAAGCAUUUAUGCACUUGGAGAUGGACUCGCGCCUGAUUAGCUAGAUGGUGAGGUAACGGCCCACCAUGGCGACGAUCAGUAGCCGGACUGAGAGGUUGAACGGCCACAUUGGGACUGAGACACGGCCCAGACUCCUACGGGAGGCAGCAGUGGGGGAUAUUGCACAAUGGGCGAAAGCCUGAUGCAGCGACGCCGCGUGAGGGAAGAAGGUUUUCGGAUUGUAAACCUCUGUCUUCGGGGACGAAACAAAUGACGGUACCCGAGGAGGAAGCCACGGCUAACUACGUGCCAGCCGCCGCGGUAAC